UUCUGCCCAUUUAGCAGGGGUCCUAUUCCUCCCUGGGCCUUCCUUUUACUCCCAAUAUAUCUAAAAAACAAUUUCUUGUUGUCUUUUACUUGGGUUGCCAUCCUCAGCUCCAUGGUAGCUUUGGCCCGUCUAACUGCCUCCCUACAAGCACGAGCAGAGGAGGUAUAUUCAUCUUUAGUGAUCUCAUCCUGUUUCCACUUUUUAUGUGCUCCCCUUUUGGCCCUUAGGCUGCCCUGGAUUUCUCUGGUCAGCCAUGGAAGCCUCCUGGCCCCUUUCCCUUUUUUGCCUCGCUCAGGGAUUGUCUUGCUUUGUGCUUGAAGGAUCGUUUCCUUAAGGCACAGCCACCCUUCUUGGGCUCCCAUCCCUUCAAAACUAUUCUGCAGUGCGUCCUUGACUAAUCGCCUGAGUGCAUUGAGAUCAGCUUUCCUAAAGUCUAGCACUUUCACCCUACUAGUUACCUUACCCACUCGACGUCUUAUGUUGAAUUCUAUUAUUAGGUGAUCACUGUCUCCCAAAUGGCUACCGAUCUGGAGGUCCCCUAUCAUGUCAUCCCCUGUUGCCAAUACCAGAUCCAGUAUGGCAUUCCCCCUAGUGGGACCAUGCACCUCCUGUGUCAGGUGGAGGUCCUGUACACAGGUUAGAAACCUGCGUGAGCGAUGGGACCUUGCUGUCUGCGUCGAUGGGACCUUGCUGUCUGCGUAGCCUUUUGCUUUUUGUAAUCUCCCAUGUGUGUCCUUUGAUGACCAGCAGGACCCUUGGCCUGGAGAGUGGAAAUUUGUUCUCUGAUGCAUAAUCAGCUUGCCAGCUAGAGCGUCUGUGUGCGCGCUGUCAGUUCUUUCCUGCCAUGACUCUGAUGUUGCAUGAAAAAUAGAGAGGCUGAUCUUCUUUAUUCUCAUAUAGCUUCCACACAGAUGCCGCAGGUCCCAUAGUUUGGGGCUCCACCUUCCCUACACUCCACCUAGCACCUCCCAGAUGACAACACAAGAAAACAAUGUUCAAUCAGAAUUUGCAGUAGUCUCUUCCCGGUGCUGUCAUGAAGGUAUAUGCAAUCCUCCGUGCCAGUAUGUUUUCCCCCUUCCCACUUUGGAGCUUAAAAGUCCUUCUCACACCACUGUUCGCAUACUGAGGCUAGGGGAAUUCAGCUUUCUUUCCUCAGUGUUCAGUCUGAGGCUACACUGUAGAUCAUCCUGGCCUGUCUCCAGUAGUCAUCAUUGCUGAGGCCCAUUCUCGGCUGUCCAGCAAUUGAUCUGGCUCCUCCAAGCUGGCUCCAGUGAUAGCCGCUUGCUGCUGUGGUUCCCACCAUUUUGCUGCCAGGGCCAGCCUUUCAGCGUGCGGCUGCUGCAGAGCCACUACAUGCACUUCUGGUUCCCCUCUUACCAUCUCUGGGUGGGUUUUAAACUCCGUUGCUGCGUUCUGCCCCUCACAAUGGGCCUGGUGGGUUCCUCUUAGCUGGGCUCAUCCUGGGGCCGGCAUCCCCAGACGUGCCUAGUGUGCUUCUGGGUCACCAUCAGAGAGCUUCAGCCCAGCUGCUGUUGCAACUGAUCGGGCUCCGCUGCCACACUUUUUCAAUAUGCCAAUGCCCAGGGGGUUGCAUGUGCAAAUGCAGACUUCUUCUCCCACGGUCGAAGGGUGGGGGGUGUUAAAAGUGGAAGAAUGUAUCCAUUCUUGGGAAUGUGGAAAUAAGUUUAACCAGGCCUCUUACUUGACUAAGAGAAGAGACAGAGAGAGAAAGAGAAGAGAAAAAGAUGCUGCUGGUAUGCGUUUCAAAAUGUUCUAAGAUAAGAAAAAACCUUCAUGCCUUGUUUUGUCUUGAUAUAUUAAGAUCUGUGUGCAGAUGUUAACCUCCUCCUUUCCCUCAAACCAGCAGCUGAUAACUGUUCCCAUAACACAGUGUUUUUGCUGAAUAAGUAAACUGCCUACGUGUGACAAACGAAUGAUCAACUUCUUCCUGUUUCUUCAAGGUUCCUCUGUCUGAACCAUACAUCUUUUCUCACGGUCUAAAGUAUAAAUACGCUUGUAAACUUAUAGAACUCAGAGUUCCUUUGAGAACCCUCCUUGUGAUCACUUGUAUAGCUUUAAAUAAACCAAGAUGGCUCUGUCAAUUCUGAUACAACCACAACGCGAAGUUUGAUUUCUUCCACAAUUUGGUGCUGUGACUCAGAGACGCCUGGAGUGAUCGGUUGAGAUACAGACCGUCUCCUCACUGACGCCCCGGCGCCAAACUAAAGUAAGAGACCUUUUGAAAUCUCUAUUGGGGCUUUUCAGUGAGAGACUGCCUGUGUGUCUUCCUGUUCGCUGCUUGAGGCUUACCCUAUCCGACCCUUUUGCUUCCAGAAUUGUCAGACCCACUAUUGUGCCACCCCCAUACCAGUCCCAGGAGAUCUCCUAAACCUUGUUAAGUAAUUCCCCAAUAUCCGGGAAGAAGCUCCGAAGUUUAGAGACAUAUUGGAAACUGUAAUCAAUUGUUAUGAGCCAACAUGGGCAUAUUUAAACCAAUUAAUGAGAAGCGUUCUGUUACGCCUCAGCUCUGCAUUCUUGGGCAACCCUGGCACAGGAUGCAGUCUGUCUGACUCACAAAGGACUCACCCCCCCCUCCCUCCCCUCCUCUACAUAAAUGAAACUGAUUAAGAUGCAGUGAGAGACGCACCUAAAACUCUCCAGAUAAGGGUGAUAAGAGUGAACAACUGCCCUCGGUCUCAUUUACAUCCGAGAUGGAACCAGAUGACCAUUCAUUUACAUGAGAGAUGGAAAACAGAAAGCCUGAAGCAGAGACUGCAGUGAAUUCUGGGACCAGAGAAGCAGGAGAGCGCUGCAUGAUGGGGAAUCUGUGCUUCCAAUGUUAAUUAACCCAUGUUCACACACACCCAGCUCAGCAUUUAUCAGACCAGUUCUAAUCUGGAUUUGCUAAGGACUUUUCUCCCCCCAGACACACACACACAGCUCUAAGUUUAAUAGGCAUCUCGGGCCGUACAUUCCCCGGUCCCAGUAUGGGAGGCCUAUUUAAACUUGAUUGACUAAAACUCGGUUGCCGGGUUAGGGAAUGCUGAGGCAAGAGACCGAGUCAGAGGGGGUAUGGGCAACAUUUGAACAAUGGUUAAGGGUUCAUCACAGCAUCCAGCCUGCUGGAGCCCUAAUUACAGGUGUUGUCAUAUCUUUCCUGAGACGACUGGUGGGAGUCCUCUCCACAAAAGGUUAUGAGCACCCCAAUAAUUGCUUUAAGUCUGUUAAAAGACUAUAGUAAAAUCUGGAAAAGUCAUGCUAAGCUGAGGCUUGUGCACAACAAGUAAAAAUCCAAAAUCCUGAUGCUGCAAGCUAUCUAUUGUUCCUGAAGAAACCAUGAGAUAUCCCAUCAGGAUAUCUGCCAUCCAUAGGAAUCUCAAGCUGGCUCCCAAGUAUUUGGGUUACUCCCUAAUCUUAAGUGUUUCCUGAUUAUCAAUCAGUUUCCUGAGAUGGUCCAAACCAGAUAACCCCUUGUCAAUAGAAAAGACAAUGAUUUACACUACUGAGGGUGCUUCAAAGCAGCUGAACUGAGGGUAUAAAAAUCUGUAAGUGUGUGUGCUUAAAAAAAAGAAAGAGAAAGAAAAAGAAGCAGAAAAGAAAAGGGAAAGAAGAAAGAAGAAGAAGAAAGCUCCUGUGCUGACACCAUCCCCUGUCGUUCUUGGGACGCUGGAAGAACAGAUCGUCUCUCUCUUCAAGGAUUGUGCUACGGACUGUGCCUGUCAGCUUUGCAGCCUGGGUACCGUGGACUCGGUGAGAUUCCCAGCGUUCUCUCUUCUUUCUAGGCAUAAACUUCUGAACCUGACCUGUAUCAGUUAAGCUUGAGCGAAGUUUCCCCAAAUACUUAGUGAAACCAGGGUAGUAUUGUCAUUGUUUGUGUUUGUUUUUCUUUUGCAUGUCUAUUACUACUAGUACUAUUAUAUAUUUCAUAUGCUUAGCAAUAAAUAACUUUUAUAGGCAAACUGGUAGUAAUUGGGUAUAUUUUUCCUUCUCUGCUUCUUUUUCCUCCUGUGCUCUGCAGCAACGCUUCUUUUACCUAUGCUAAAGAUCCCUGUGAAGCCUAAAUUAUUGUGGGGUCUGCUCAUCAAGAGGCCAAAGAUUGGGACGUGCUGAGUUUGAAACACAUAAGGGGAUCAGCUUGUACAGGCUGAUUGACCCAGUUUGACUCAGACGUGCCCUUAUGAACUGAAUGCUGGCCCAUGAGGGUGCCAGCUGGACACCCAGCCGGAUUCAGAGGGAUUCUGUUUACCUGUGUGCUUGUGUCUGACUGCAUUUUAUUGUUGCUCUUAUGAACUGAUUCUUGGCAUAUGAGGGUGUCAGCCUGUCCAUGCUGAUCAGCCCGGCCAGGUCAGGCGUGUCACGUUAGUGUGUGUGUGUUUGUGUGUAUGACUGAUUUGGUGACUGGAGGAACCCAGUCCCAUUGAGAUUGAGUCCUGCAAGAUAGCUCCACUGGGGGUGAGGGCUUGCAGAAGGGAGAAAUACAGCUCCAUAUAGUAACACAAGCAGCACAUUGACAGAAUCACCAAGACCCUAGAAACUAUCCUUUAAUAAAUGAGCACACCCCAAAGUAAUGGGCAAAUUUGGUAACAGUUCUGCCCUCCGAGGUCCGUAACCACCUCAUUGCACAGGCUAAUUGGCCUCCUGAAGACCCCGGAAUGGGAGGUCGCUUAGUAGGUACCUGAGAAUGUCUUCUUGAGGCCGUGCUUAAAAUCUGCCCCAGGAAAACUGACUGGGCCAAAAUAAAUAACUGUAAGCAAAAUAAAGGAGAAUCCUCAGCAGACUACAUGGAUCUCUUGACACUCGUAUUUGAAAGACAUUCUGGCAUUGAAGAUGCAGCUGAAACUGCCCCAGAAGCAGUUGCUGCUGCUUUUGUCCAAGGACUUCUUUCUAAAGUCCAGGAACAGCUACGUACCAGCUAUGUACAAUUGCUGUAGGUUGGCAAACUAAGACACUUAUAGAACUAGUCACCAUUGCUAAUCACUCUCCGAGCUGAAGAAUUUUCUACAACUCCCCUCUCCUCUGCUGUUGUAAACGCUGUAGGAAUUUCAAAUCAGAUAGUUCCUCAUCCUGUUUCCCAACCCUUACAUGUUUCUCUUGGCCCUGUUUCUGAUCAACAUGCCUUUCUCCUCAGUCCUUUUUCUCCUGUUAAUUUGUUAGGCAGUACUAUUUAUUGUUCUCCUAAUGGUGUUUAUUUAGAUGUUCCCUGUGUUAAUGAAAUGGCUGUACUUGCUACCCUAGCUAGCUUACCUCCUGAGCCUGAGUCCCCUAAUCUUUCUGUGUUACAAGAGGAAAUAAUAAAGGCUGUCCUUCUGUUUCUCCGGUCCCAACAUGCUAAUGAAGUAGGGCAAAUCCAUACUGCCCAGCCUGUAAAAAUUAGAUUAAAUCCAGCCACUAUCUUAUCCUGUAUUCUUCCUAAUGCCUGUUAUUUUACUGUUGUUGACUUGUGUUCUGCAUUUUUCUCUAUCCCUAUACACCCUGAUAGGUGAAUGCAAAGAGAAACUGGCUAUCAGGAACUUCAGUAUACCUGGACUUGAUUGCCCCAAGGCUAUACUGAAUCCCCUUCUCUUUUUUCUCAAAUUCUGAAGAAGGAUUUAGAUGACAUAAUAUUUAAAGAAAAUUCUGUGCUUGUACAGUACGUUGAUUAUCUGCUCUUGGAAUCUACCUCACUUAAAGCCUGUAAAGCUGAUUCUUUAACUCUUCUCACCUCUCUUGCUCUAAAAGGCCAGAAGGCAUCUAAAGAAAAGUUACAACUUUGUCUCCCUUGUCCACUAUUUGAGUCAUGAUAUUUCCGCUGAAGAACGGCUGCUUUCUUCUUCAAGGAGAGAAGCUAUUCUUAAAAUCCCUAGACCAACUACUGUGUCCCAAAUGCAUACUUUCCUAGGCAUAGCUGGCUACUGCCGCUAGUGGAUACUUGGCUAUGCCUCUAUAGUCAAGCCACUGCAAAACCUGACUCUUGUUAAUACCCCUGAGCCUUUGCCCUGGACUUCAGAAGCCGAAGCUGCUUUGGCCUCUAUUAAACAAGCUGUCGCAAGCUCCUGCCCUAGGCCUUCCCGAUUAUACUAAACCCUUUAUUCUUUUUUGUCAUGAAAAAGACGGAUUUGCACUUGCUGUGCUCACUCAAGCACAUGGAGACAAGCACCGUCCCAUUGCUUAUCAUAGCUCUGUUCUUGAUCCAGUUGCAGCCGGACUUCCUCCAUGUCUUCGUGCUGUAACUGCAGCUGCUAUUAUUGUUGAACUGUCCUCUACCCUUGUAUUAGGCUCUCCCCUUUAAAGUUGCUGUCCCACACGCUGUAGCAGCCCUUUUACUAAAAACUAAAACUCAACACCUUGCAAAUGUUAGAUUGACUAAGUAUGAAAUUUUGCUUUUUCUGCUAGAAAUAUUACUUUAACUAGAUGCCCUGUUUUAAACCCUGCCUCCCUGUUGCCUGCUCCUUCAGAUGGUGAACUCCACGAUUGUAUUGCUGUUACUGCCCACCUAACAAUGCCCCACACUGAUCUAAAGGACACCCCCUUGCAAAACCCAAAUCUAGUAUUUUAUGUUGAUGGAUCAUGUAAAAAAAACUCAAAAGGUUCUCUUGUUGCAUAUGCAGUAUGUUCCCAAUAUGAUGUUAUAGAAAGCCAUCACUUGCCCAAUGUGUAUUCAGCUCAAGUUGCUGAGCCUGUGGCCCUUACCAGGGCUUGUACCCUAGCCUUUGGUACCUCUGUUAAUAUUUACACUAAUUCUCGCUAUACCUUUGGUAUUGUACACGAUUAUGGUCAACUUUGGAAGCAAAGGCUUCCUCAUGUCAGGAGGUGCCAAAAUUAGUAAUAGUUCAUAUAUAAAUGCCUUGUUAAAUGCUUUACAGUUACCUUCUGCUGUUGCUAUUAUUAAAUGGCAAGCUCACCAGAAACCUUAUGAUGAUGUUACAUGUGGGAAUGCUCUGGCAGCCUCCGCUGCCAAAGCUGCAGCUAUUUCCAGUCCUCAGGCUACACCUGUGUUUUUGCCUAUCUCGAUUAACCAGUCUCCAUUGGCAAGUCUUCACGAUGUUGCCCUCCUCCAAGAUCAAGCUCCAGAACCAGAAAAAUAUAUGUGGAGACUGGCUGGGUGUUUGUUACACCCUGACCAUUUGUGGCGCUCCCCGGACGGCUGCCUGGUUGCCUCAAUGGUCCUUCUUUCCUAUCUUGCUCGCAUACACCAUGGCAUAGCACACGUGAGCAAAGGGGAGAAGAUAGAAGCUGUUAAGCUUGAUUGGUUUGCUCAAAAUUUUCCAUCUGUGGCUCAACAAUACUGUUAUACCUGCCCUAUUUGUCAAGCCCAUAAUGUGGGAAAGCCUGUAAAAACAAAAAAAGCAUCACAUCCCCCACCUUGGUGGCCAUUUGUAAAUUUACAAAUAGAUUUUAUUCAAAUGCAGAAAUGUUGUUCUUAUGAAUAUGUUCUUGUUACUGUAUGUAUGUUCUCUGGAUGGGUAGAAGCCUACCCAUGUGCAAAAGCUGAUUCCAUCACUGUGAGCAAAAAGUUGCUCAGAGACUUUAUUCCAAGGUUUGGUAUUCCUUUAUCUAUAAACUCCGAUAGAGGAACUCAUUUUACUGGGCAGAUAAUGAAAGAAGUCUACAAAGUCCUGCAAAUCCAGUAGAACUUUCAUUGCCUUUACCAUUCACAAGCCUCGUGCCAAGUGGAAUGCCAAAAUGGCAUUUAAAAAAAUAAACUGGCCAAAAUUUGUGCUGAAACUCACCUGAAAUGGCCAAAUGCACUUCCUAUAGCCCUUAUGAGUCUGAGAUCUACUGUCAACCGAAAGACUGGACUCAGCCCACAUGAAAUCCUGAUAGGAAGGCUCCCUGCCUCACCACUUGUUGCCUCCCACUUUUGCAAUAUACAUUUACUUGAUGAUAUUAUUUUAGACUACUGUACGGCACUAAUGAAGUGUUAAGGCUUUUCAUUCACAGGUACAAGCAGCUCUCCCCAAGGAACCAGAUGAGCCAUGCCAUUCCAUCCUGCCUGGUGACUGGGUUCAUUUAAAAGUCUAUCAACGGAAGCCAUCGCUGGAACCCCGCUGGAAAGGCCCAUUCCAGGUACUCCUGACAACCAACACUGCAAUAAAGUGUCAAGGACUCCAAAUGUGGAUCCACGCUUCACACAGUAAGAAAACAUCAGCCCUGUUAAACCCAGAGUCUCCUCCAUAUCAACCUUGUAAACAGCCUCCACAAACUGGUCGUGAGCCUAGUGCCUGCCAACAGGAGAGCUCAAGACCAGUAGUAAGCCAAGUGCCUACUGACAAAGAGGAUUUGCCACUACAGAGUGAAGAAAAUGUACCCCAAUGACACCACUAUGCCCUUCAGGACAGGAAAAAGUACUCUACCUAGUUCCUGGUUCCUGAGGUGGGGUUGGUUAGUCAUGACUUGAGUACUUCUCAGUCUUUCCUUUUGGAUCAUCUUAUAUGAACUUAAAGACUCACCAGCUAAAAGAAACUUUGUAAAUGAAACUAGACUUCAAAACAGGUAAAAAAGAUCACUUCCACACUGGCAUGCUCACCAAAACACUUUUUUUAACUGUCUUAUUAGUAUGCAAAGGAUUUAAAUGUGUCUAAAUGUUGGGUAUGUUCCCAUUUGCCUCCUAGUACAAUGACAGGGGUGCCCAUAAUUGCUUUAUCCCUUAAUUGGACCAACUUUUGUGAUAUGUAUGUUAAAAUAGCGAAAGGUAAAGAAAAAAAGAAAAAUUAGAAGUUAAAAGGCUCAUGGCUAUAAAUAUCUAACAUGUUGGGCCAAAAAGGCCCAAAAGGGGGGAAUGUGGAAAUAAGUUUAACCAGGCCUCUUACUUGACUAAUAGGAGAGACAAAGAGAGAGAAAGAGAAGAAAAAAAGAUGCUGAUGCUAUGUGUUUCAAAAGGUUCUAAGAUAAGAAAAAACCUUCAUGCCUUGUUUUUUCUUGAUAUAUUAAGCUCUAUGUGCAGAUGUUAACCUCCUCCUUUCCCUCGAACUAGAAGCUGAUAACUGUUCCCAAAACACAGUAUUUUUGCUGAAUAAGUAAACUGCCUACGUGUGACAAACAAAUGAUCAACUUCUUCCUGUUUCUUCAAGGUUGCUCUGUCUGAACCAUACAUCUUUUCUCUCUGUCUAAAGUAUAAAUAUGCUUGUAAACUUAUAGAGUUCAGAGUUCCUUUGAGAACCCUCCUUGUGAUCACUUGUAUAGCUUUAAAUAAACCAAGAUGGCUCUGACAA